GAUGAACGCUGGCGGCGUGCCUAAUACAUGCAAGUCGAGCGAACAGAUAAGGAGCUUGCUCCUUUGACGUUAGCGGCGGACAGGUGAGUAACACGUGGGUAACCUACCUAUAAGACUGGGAUAACUUCGGGAAACCGGAGCUAAUACCGGAUAACAUUUGGAACCGCAUGGUUCUAAAGUGAAAGAUGGUUUUGCUAUCACUUAUAGAUGGACCCGCGCCGUAUUAGCUAGUUGGUAAGGUAACGGCUUACCAAGGCAACGAUACGUAGCCGACCUGAGAGGGUGAUCGGCCACACUGGAACUGAGACACGGUCCAGACUCCUACGGGAGGCAGCAGUAGGGAAUCUUCCGCAAUGGGCGAAAGCCUGACGGAGCAACGCCGCGUGAGUGAUGAAGGGUUUCGGCUCGUAAAGCUCUGUGAUUAGGGAAGAACAAAUGUGUAAGUAACUGUGCACGUCUUGACGGUACCUAAUCAGAAAGCCACGGCUAACUACGUG
rnacentral:rRNA from 1 species